rnacentral:rRNA from 1 species
UGCAGUCGAACGCUGAAGCUCCAGCUUGCUGGGGUGGAUGAGUGGCGAACGGGUGAGUAACACGUGAGUAACCUUCCCUUGACUCUGGGAUAAGCCCGGGAAACUGGGUCUAAUACCGGAUACGACCUCCUAUCGCAUGGUGGGGGGUGGAAAGAUUUAUCGGUUUUGGAUGGACUCGCGGCCUAUCAGCUUGUUGGUGAGGUAAUGGCUCACCAAGGCGACGACGGGUAGCCGGCCUGAGAGGGUGACCGGCCACACUGGGACUGAGACACGGCCCAGACUCCUACGGGAGGCAGCAGUGGGGAAUAUUGCACAAUGGGCGCAAGCCUGAUGCAGCGACGCCGCGUGAGGGAUGACGGCCUUCGGGUUGUAAACCUCUUUCAGUAGGGAAGAAGCUUUCGGGUGACGGUACCUGCAGAAGAAGCGCCGGCUAACUACGUGCCAGCAGCCGCGGUAAUACGUAGGGCGCGAGCGUUAUCCGGAAUUAUUGGGCGUAAAGAGCUCGUAGGCGGUUUGUCGCGUCUGCCGUGAAAGUCCGGGGCUUAACCCCGGAUCUGCGGUGGGUACGGGCAGACUAGAGUGCAGUAGGGGAGACCGGAAUUCCUGGUGUAGCGGUGAAAUGCGCAGAUAUCAGGAGGAACACCGAUGGCGAAGGCAGGUCUCUGGGCUGUUACUGACGCUGAGGAGCGAAAGCAUGGGGAGCGAACAGGAUUAGAUACCCUGGUAGUCCAUGCCGUAAACGUUGGGCACUAGGUGUGGGGGACAUUCCACGUUUUCCGCGCCGCAGCUAACGCAUUAAGUGCCCCGCCUGGGGAGUACGGCCGCAAGGCUAAAACUCAAAGGAAUUGACGGGGGCCCGCACAAGCGGCGGAGCAUGCGGAUUAAUUCGAUGCAACGCGAAGAACCUUACCAAGGCUUGACAUGUUCCCGACCGGGCCAGAGAUGGUCUUUCCCCUUUGGGGCGGGUUCACAGGUGGUGCAUGGUUGUCGUCAGCUCGUGUCGUGAGAUGUUGGGUUAAGUCCCGCAACGAGCGCAACCCUCGUU